CGACUCCUUACGCCUGUGGCGGGUGGCCGCGACGGAGGGCGCUUGAGCGCCUGCGCGGUACCUACCUUGGGUACAGGCGCCAAUAGAGACUGGCGGGAGUAAAUACCAUGGCGUGGGUUCCAGCCGAGUCUGCGGUGGAAGAGUUGAUGCCACGGUUGUUACCUGUGGAGCCCUGUGACUUGACGGAAGGUUUCGAUCCCUCGGUACCCCCCAGGACGCCUCAGGAAUACCUGAGGAGGGUGCAGAUCGAAGCAGCCCAGUGUCCAGAUGUUGUGGUAGCCCAGAUUGACCCAAAGAAGUUGAAAAGGAAGCAAAGUGUGAAUGUUUCUCUUUCGGGAUGCCACCCUGCCCCUGAAGGUUAUUCCCCAACACUGCAGUGGCAGCAGCAACAAGUGAUACAGUUUUCGAGUGUUCGACAGAAAAUAUAGACUUGAUUGGUUUAAGUGUCUGAAAUGUCUACGGAAAGCCCACCUGGCAUCUGAUGAGCAGUUGGAACAGUUUUCCUCAGUUGCAUGCAUUGAAAAUAGGCCACGUGGGACUUAGUACUUAAGCGGCUUGCAUAAAAACUGCUGACAUUUUAUACAGUCCCCUGGUGCUGCUUCAUUGGUUUUUUACAAUAUACAUAUAUAUUUAUGUUGAAAUGUAUUUUGACUACUCAAAUUUUACUUGACUCAAACAAAAUAAAAGACAAUGGAUGUCCUUAGAGUUGCAAUUCAUACAGAUGAAAUGGCAAAUCUAUUCAUAGUUAACAAAAGUAAUCCAGUGUUCAUGUUUAAACUCAAUAGUCUUAGUUUAAUUACACCACCAAAACCUUUUCU
rnacentral:lncRNA from 1 species